rnacentral:tRNA from 1 species
AGCCCCUUAGUCUAGUGGUCAAGGAUGCAAGGUUCUGGGCCUUGCGACCCAGGUUCGAAUCCUGGAGGGGCUA